rnacentral:lncRNA from 13 species
UGUGGCCAAUGCACCUAUUGUGUCCCUGCUGCAGAAAGGAGCCUGCCGAUUGGCCACUGUCUGCAGCACAUAGCACUGGCUGGUUAUAAAGGACUUGUCUAGGGGAGAGCCUGUAGGUACUCCAUUGUCUGGUAAAGUUCAUAUGACUGCAUUCUUUUUUGCAAGGGGGGUGGAGGGAGAGUGGCGAAGGAGGGGGUGUCAGCUCAACUGUAAAAGCUGCACAGAUUUUUUUCUUUCUCUCUCUCUCUCUGCCUCUCCAUAGAUCGUUUCUGUUUCAUGCCCUGUCUCAUUUUGCAUAGCUAAAAAAGAAUGCUAAUUAAGAUCCCUUGUCUUAACCUGAAAAAUAAUGACUUGGCUGUAAUUAGAAAUCUGGUGAGAGUUUAAAAUUCUGGUACGGGACCAAAAACAUCAGUUACGGUACUUAGGAAGAAAAUGAAGAAUUAUUUUUUUGUAAUCAAGGUAAACAUGGGAGAGGGGGGUUCCCCCCAUCUUUUUAACCAAUUUUAAUCAGUGGUGUUCUAUCGCAGAUGAGAAGAUACUGUAUUUCAAAAACUAUUUUAACCAUCAAAUUGAAGGAACACAAAUCAGUAGCAUUAGAAGCCUUCUUAAUCCUCCUUAGGAUGCAAUUCAGAUGAAAGAACUGCUUUUUUUUUUUCUAUUUUUCUUUUUAUAUGUGUGUGUUAUAGAUGGAUCUGAGAACGCUGUCUGGGCUUGGUGCCAAGGGCUGGUAUUUCACAGCAGCGACCGCCUCACAGACGAGCUGUGGGAAGCAGGAGGGAGACUCUCUCUUAGGGUGCCACUACUAUGGAGACACAGCUGGGCUGAACAAGAUUUGCUUCAAACAACAACAAGAGAGACAGAAAGUAUCUGGUUCAACCGCUGCCUGAGCAGGCAGGCACCAGAAGAGCUAGCAGCCAAUCCGGCCAUGCUCGAAGCCAGCUCUGCAGCUCAGCCAAUCAGUGACAUCACUGCUUUCUUUAGCUUGCCCAUGGUGAAGUGAAGAUGAGAAGGAAUAGAAAGGCCCAACCUGUUCUUCAUCAGAAGACAGCUCAAUGUUCUGCAAACCAGGUAAAAACAAUACAGAUGAUUUUAGGAGUGCAUAGUCCCUUUAUAAAAGAGACUAUUUUCUUUCUCAAGUUUGAUCUACA